rnacentral:rRNA from 1 species
AGUGAACGCUGGCGGUAGGCCUAACACAUGCAAAUCGAACGGCAGCACAGUAAGAGCUUGCUCUUACGGGUGGCGAGUGGCGGACGGGUGAGGAAUACAUCGGAAUCUACUUUUUCGUGGGGGAUAACGUAGGUAAACUUACGCUAAUACCGCAUACGACCUACGGGUGAAAGCAGGGGAUCUUCGGACCUUGCGCGAUUGAAUGAGCCGAUGUCGGAUUAGCUAGUUGGCGGGGUAAAGGCCCACCAAGGCGACGAUCCGUAGCUGGUCUGAGAGGAUGAUCAGCCACACUGGAACUGAAACACGGUCCAGACUCCUACGGGAGGCAGCAGUGGGGAAUAUUGGACAAUGGGCGCAAGCCUGAUCCAGCCAUACCGCGUGGGUGAAGAAGGCAUUCGGGUUGUAAAGCCCUUUUGUUGGGAAAGAAAAGCAGCAGGUUAAUACCACGCUGUACUGACGGUACAAAAAGAAUAAGCACCGGCUAACUUCGUG